rnacentral:rRNA from 1 species
AGUGAGGAAUAUUGGUCAAUGGGCGCAAGCCUGAACCAGCCAUCCCGCGUGAAGGAAGAAUGCGCUACGCGUUGUAAACUUCUUUUCCAGGGGGAGAAUUUUCCUGUCGAGACAGGGAUUGACGGUACCCUGGGAAUAAGCAUCGGCUAACUCCGUGCCAGCAGCCGCGGUAAUACGGAGGAUGCGAGCGUUAUCCGGAUUUAUUGGGUUUAAAGGGUGCGUAGGCGGAUUGAUAAGUCAGUGGUGAAAUUCUGCAGCUUAACUGUAGACUUGCCGUUGAUACUGUUAGUCUUGAGUGUGGUCAAGGCAGGCGGAAUGUGUAAUGUAGCGGUGAAAUGCUUAGAUAUUACACAGAACACCGAUUGCGAAGGCAGCUUGCUGGGUCAUUACUGACGCUGAUGCACGAAAGCGUGGGGAUCAAACAGGAUUAGAUACCCUGGUAGUCCACGCCGUAAACUAUGAUCACUCGCUGUUGGCGAUACACGGUCAGCGGCUAAGCAAAAGCAUUAAGUGAUCCACCUGGGGAGUACGGCCGCAAGGCUGAAACUCAAAGGAAUUGACGGGGGCCCGCACAAGCGGAGGAACAUGUGGUUUAAUUCGAUGAUACGCGAGGAACCUUACCUGGGCUUAAAUGUGGAGUGCAUUGGUGAGAAAUCAUCAUUUUCUUCGGAACUCUCUGCAAGGUGCUGCAUGGUUGUCGUCAGCUCGUGCCGUGAGGUGUCGGGUUAAGUCCCAUAACGAGCGCAACCCUUAUCGUUAGUUGCCAGCGGGUCAAGCCGGGGACUCUAACGAAACUGCCGGUGUAAACCGAGAGGAAGGUGGGGAUGACGUCAAAUCAGCACGGCCCUUAUGUCCAGGGCUACACACGUGUUACAAUGGCCGGUACAGAGGGCAGCUACCUGGAGACAGGAUGCGAAUCUCGAAAGCCGGUCUCAGUUCGGAUCGGAGUCUGCAACUCGACUCCGUGAAGCUGGAUUCGCUAGUAAUCGCGCAUCAGCCACGGCGCGGUGAAUACGUUCCCGGGCCUUGUACACACCGCCCGUCAAGCCAUGGAAGUUGGGGGUGCCUGAAGUCCGUAACCGAAAAGAGCGGCCUAGAGUAAAACCAGUGACUGGGGCU